UUUGGUUAAUUUUUGAUUGUUUUUGAGUUCUUGGGAUUUAGUGAAAUAUUAGCACUGGUUUGGCUUUUUGGGCUUUUUCUUUCUUGGAAUUUGGGUUGAGUUGAAGCUAACAGUUUGUAAGAUUUUGGGGAAUCGAAAAAUAAUUCUGGGUUAUUAUAUUUUGUCUAAUACAAUUACGUUUGGGAUUCAAAUUUGGGUCUGUUUUGGUUUUCUUCUGUGUUUUGUUAAAGAGUAAAAUAAUUUCUGGGUUACAAUGACUGUUUAGUUUCUUGAAUUCAGGUUUCUUGGUGGCGAAGAAAAGUUUUGGUUUUGGUGCGAUAUAUUUGAUUCUGAAAGUCUCAUAUUUGGCUUUCAUUGGGGAGUUUAUAAAUAUUUGUCUAGUUCUGUUUGUUGAUUGAAAGAAGGUGGUGGUUGUGACGAGUUACCGUAUAAAAUUGGGGAAGAUGGUUACAUUUGAUCAAGGUUCUAAUGUAAUUUCUAAGCCCUUGGCUUCUACAGGGAAGAGGAAGAGGCGGGAGGGCAAUAGCUCUGUUGCUGAGACUCUUCAAAAAUGGAAGGAGUACAAUAAAUAUCUUGAUUCUUGUACUAAUGGAGAUGAUAAACCGGUGCGUAAAAUUCCAGCUAAAGGCUCAAGGAAGGGAUGUAUGAAGGGCAAAGGAGGGCCUGAGAACUCGCAGUGUAUUUAUAGAGGUGUUAGACAAAGGAAAUGGGGUAAAUGGGUUGCGGAGAUUAGGGUACCAAAUAGAGGGCCUAGGCUUUGGCUUGGAACUUAUCCAACUGCCUCUGAAGCUGCUCAUGCAUAUGAUAACGCUGCACGGGCCAUGUAUGGUACUCUUGCCCGGCUGAAUUUUCCUGAAUUAUCAAAUUCAACAAGCUCAUCAAAGGAUUUCUGCUUGGCUGCAACCUCAUCUGGCUAUUCUUCUGUAGCAACUCCUGCAGGUUCAGACUCCACUACUACGUCCAAUCAUUCGGAAGUUUGUGCAGAUGAAGACACCAAAGAGCAUAUUGUAAAAAUUGGGGAUGGUGAAGGUGAAUCAAAAAUAAAACUUCAGCCUCCUGAAGUAAUUAAAUCUGUCUCAUCAUGUAUUAAACUGAAAAAAGAAGCAAAGGAGGAGCUGGAAUCCGUCUCACCAUGGAGUAAACUGAAACAAGAAGCUAAGGAGGAGCGGGAAGAUGUUACAGAGAGUGAAAGGAGUAGGAUGCCUGAGAUUAAAAUCCCAGAGAAAGACGAAAUUCAACAGAAUAAUAUUUGUGAGCAAAAACAGAAAGGUGUCUGUGAUAUCCAACAAGACCCAAAAGAUGAGUCUCUGAGUGUGAAGGAUUAUGGCUGGGGUAAUGGAUGUGAUGGGAUGGAUUACUUGCAAAAUUUCAAAAUUGAUGAGAUGUUUAGUGUUGAUGAACUACUGGGGGCCAUAGACAACAACCCGCUCAAUCUGGAUUUUGAUAGUGAUCAACUGUUGUUCACUGACAAUGAUCAUCUACUGCAUGAGCUGCCGCUUGAUUUGUCAUUCCAGUUGCAGAGCCCUGAUGCUAGGUUCAUUGGGGAUCAUCAGCAUAUACAGCAGGUGCCUUCAGGUGGCGAUUACAACUUCGAUUUCUUGAAUCCAGGCAGGCAGGAAGACAACAAUGUUCCAUUGGAUGAUCAAGGAUACUUCAGCUUGGGAUUGCCAGAUAGGUUUUGAUGAGGAGACAUGAAUAAGAGGGCAUUUUGCAGCCUGACGAUGACACUGUAUUAUCACUUGGAAAUAAACAAACAAAAUAAUAGUACUGUUUUGGUCUGAGACUACCCUUGUUGAUUCAGAAGGUCAGAAGACAAGGAGCAUUAGGGUGUGGUUUGCUGCUAUAUUAACAUGUUUUCUGCAUUACUGAAUUUGUUCUUUUAAACCUGACCCACAAAUGGCUGAUUCUCUGGAGUUUUUUUUUAUCAGAGAAAUUGGCCUUGAAACGUCUUUGUUUUCGCGAACCAACUUCAAGGUAGAGUUGGGGCUGGUUGUUAUCAUGCCUUGGGCAAAGCUUUUGUGAUAUUGAAGAAUUUAGUUUUGUUAGACAAAUUAUUUCUUGUAUAUGAAGAGUACUCGAUAAUCGUAUGUCAAUCGACUUUUAAAUGUUCAUGUUCAAUUCAUAUGUGGUCUCCUUUGUUAUUUUAAUUGUUCCAGUGGGUUCUGCAUAAUUGUGUAUGUAAACUUGUUAGUAAUUUUGAGUAGUAAACUCUCCCUAUUGGGGAUUGUUUUUGUUUCUGCAAUUCCCAUCCUGAGGUCUCUGCCAGCAAAUCUGCAAACCGAAA
rnacentral:misc_RNA from 1 species